GAUGAACGCUAGCGGCAGGCUUGAUACAUGCAAGUCGAGGGGCAGCACGGAUAGCAAUAUUUGGUGGCGACCGGCGCACGGGUGCGUAACACGUAUACAACCUACCUAUAACAGGGGGAUAGCCUUUCGAAAGAGAGAUUAAUACCCCGUAAUAAAUUGAGUGGCAUCACUUGAUUUUGAAAGCUACGGCGGUUAUAGAUGGGUAUGCGUCCUAUUAGCUAGUUGGUGAGGUAACGGCUCACCAAGGUGACGAUAGGUAGGGGAUCUGAGAGGACUAACCCCCACACUGGUACUGAGACACGGACCAGACUCCUACGGGAGGCAGCAGUAAGGAAUACUGGUCAAUGGAGGCAACUCUGAACCAGCCAUGCCGCGUGCAGGAUGACGGCCCUAUGGGUUGUAAACUGCUUUUGUACCAGAGAAAACCUACUCACGUGUGAGUAGCUGAUAGUAUGGUAAGAAUAAGCAUCGGCUAACUUCGUGCCAGCAGCCGCCAGUAA
rnacentral:rRNA from 1 species